UUCUCUGUGGUUAUGCAGUUGGGGGCGGAGGAGCCGAGAGUGGCCGGGAAAUGAUGGCUGAUGAAGAGGAAGAAGGCAAACAGAUCUUGCAGAAAUUGCAGGAAUUGGUGGAUCAACUAUAUUCAUUUCGAGAGUGCUAUUUCGAGACACAUAGUGUUGAGGAUGCUGGUAGGAAGCAACAGGAUGUGCGGGAGGAGAUGGAGAAGACCCUGCAGCAGAUGGAGGAAGUAGUGGGUUCUGUCCAGGGCAAGGCACAGGUUCUGAUGCUGACUGGGAAGGCACUGAAUGUGACUCCUGACUAUAGCCCUAAGGCUGAGGAGCUUCUGUCAAAAGCUGUCAAGCUGGAGCCCACGCUAGUGGAAGCCUGGAACCAGCUGGGUGAGGUGUAUUGGAAGAAAGGGGAUGUUGCAGCUGCCCACACCUGCUUCUCAGGAGCCCUCACCCAUUGUAAGAACAAAGUCUCCCUUCAAAACCUGUCGAUGGUGCUUCGCCAGCUGCGGACUGACUCUGGAGAUGAACAUUCUCGCCACAUCAUGGACAGUGUCCGGCAGGCUAAAUUGGCUGUGCAGAUGGAUAUCCAUGAUGGCCGCUCUUGGUAUAUUCUGGGGAAUGCAUACCUUUCUCUCUACUUCAAUACUGGCCAGAACCCUAAGAUCUCCCAGCAAGCCCUUAGUGCCUAUGCCCAAGCAGAGAAGGUAGACAGGACAGCUUCCAGCAAUCCUGACCUUCAUCUGAACAGGGCAACGUUACAUAAAUAUGAAGAAAAUUAUGGAGAGGCCCUGGAGGGCUUCUCUCGGUCCGCAGCACUGGACCCUGCCUGGCUAGAGCCCCAGCAGCGAGAGCAACAACUCCUGGAAUUCUUGAACAAGUUGACCAGUCUCCUUGAGAGCAAGGGAAAGAUGAAGACCAAAAAGUUGCAAAGCAUGCUGGGAAGCUUGCGCCCAGCCCAUCUCGGCCCUUGUGGUGAUGGGCACUAUCAGUCAGCCUGUGGACAGAAGGUGACCCUCGAGCUCAAGCCACUGAGUGUGCUGCAGCCUGGUGUGAACAGUGGUGCUGUGGUCCUGGGAAAGGUGGUGUUCAGCCUUACCACAGAGGAGAAGGUCCCCUUCACCUUUGGCCUGGUAGAUUCAGACGGACCUUGCUAUGCAGUGAUGGUGUACAACAUGGUGCAGAGUUGGGGAGUGCUCAUUGGGGACUCUGUAGCCAUCCCUGAGCCCAACCUUCGGCUUCACCGAAUUCAGCACAAGGGAAAGUGACACUGCUGGCACCCUACCUGCCCCAGAUUUUUCUUCUGAAGAUUGACAACUUUGAGGAAAUCACAUCCUCUUUGUUAGCUCAGCUCUGUUGAAUGUGAGAUGGAGGACUAUUCCUUUUCCAGUGUUCGCGUGGAGACACCCCUCCUGCUGGUGGUGAAUGGGAAGCCCCAGGGCUCCAGCAGUCAGGCUGCUGCUACAGUGGCAUCUCGGCCACAGUGUGAAUGACCUUACUUAACCUGCAUGCU